rnacentral:rRNA from 1 species
GUGCCAGCAGCUGCGNUAAUACGGGGGGAGCAAGCGUUGUUCGGAUUUACUGGGCGUAAAGGGCGCGUAGGCGGCGCAACAANUCACUUGUGAAAUCUCCGGGCUUAACCCGGAGCGGCCAAGUGAUACUGUCGUGCUAGAGUGCGGAAGGGGCUACCGGAAUUNUCGGUGUAGCGGUGAAAUGCGUAGAUAUCGAGAGGAACACCUGCGGCGAAGGCGGGUAGCUGGNCCGACACUGACGCUGAGGCGCGAAAGCCAGGGGAGCGAACGGGAUUAGAUACCCCGGUAUUCCUGCCCCUUAAACGAUGGAUGCUUGGUGUUCCGGGGUUACAUNGUACCCCGGGUGCCGGCGCUAAACGCAUUAAGCAUCCCGCCUGGGGAGUA